CCUGUAAGUACCUGGUAAUUAUCCGGUGUUCCUUCCCACAGCAGUGACUGUGGACAUUUUGCAGGUGUCCUGUAGAGAGAACUGCUGUCUUCUGGGACCACAGCCCUGAGCUUGGGGGGCCCUGUCAGCUUCGAGGCAAGAGUCCUUCAAUGAUAGAUAUUCCCGGAAGAAAAUCCUGAAGAAUGGGACUCAUGAACAGGGAAUGUGUCUGCUGUCUGGGUAAGUGAUUGUGUGCACCAUAAACUCAUCACAGACAACCUGAUCUUCACAUUGGUAGGUCAGUGAGGUUCUUUUCCCUGAACGGUUUACCACGUGAUGGGUUUAGGGGUAUUCCGGUAAGAAAGGGUAGCGGCUCCUUGUUCUCAUUGCCAUGUGAUCCCAUUGUUUUCUGUCCUGGAGAGAACGUAUGAGGUAUGUACCCUGUGAGUGCUGAUCGAUUGGCACGUACCCAGGGAACUCCAGUGGCACUGUGCAUCACAGGAGUAACUAAGGUGAAUUUGCAGAGAAGACAACCAGAGAAAAUGAUGUGUCCUACGAUGGCCUACCCCUUGGAGGGACCACAAGCAUCCAGGUAGAUUUUUGGCCCCCACAACACUGUUAGUGAGCGGGUGGUUUUCUGGGUUCUGCU